GACGAACGCUGGCGGCGUGCUUAACACAUGCAAGUCGAACGGAAAGGCCCUGCUUUUGUGGGGUGCUCGAGUGCCGAACGGGGGAGUAACACGUGAGUAACCUGCCCUUGUCUUUGGGGUAACUUCAGGAAACUGGGGCUAAUACCGGAUAGGAUCUCCUGCUGCGUGGUGGGGGUUGGAAAGUUUCGGCGGUUGGGGCUGGACUCGCGGCUUAUCAGCUUGUUGGUGGGGUAGUGGCUUACCAAGGCUUUGACGGGUAGCCGGCCUGAGAGCGUGACCGGCCACAUUGGGACUAAGGGACGGACCAGUAGCCUACGGGAGGCAGUGGGGGGGAGUAUGACACAAUGGGCGGACGCCUGAUGCAGAAACGCCGCGUGCGUGAUGACGUCCUUUUGGUUGUAAACCGCUUUCGCCUGUGACGAAGCGUGAGUGACGGUAAUGGGUAAAGAAGCACCGGCUAACUACGUG
rnacentral:rRNA from 1 species